AACGAACGCUGGCGGCAUGCCUAACACAUGCAAGUCGAACGAGACCUUCGGGUCUAGUGGCGCACGGGUGCGUAACGCGUGGGAACCUGCCCUUAGGUUCGGAAUAACUCCCCGAAAGGGGUGCUAAUUCCGGAUAAUGUCUUCGGACCAAAGAUUUAUCGCCUUUGGAUGGGCCCGCGUUGGAUUAGCUAGUUGGUAGGGUAAAAGCCUACCAAGGCGACGAUCCAUAGCUGGUCAGAGAGGAUGAUCAGCCACACUGGGACUGAGACACGGCCCAGACUCCUACGGGAGGCAGCAGUGGGGAAUAUUGGACAAUGGGCGAAAGCCUGAUCCAGCAAUGCCGCGUGAGUGAUGAAGGCCUUAGGGUUGUAAAGCUCUUUUACCCGGGAUGAUAAUGACAGUACCGGGAGAAUAAGCGCCGGCUAACUCCGUG
rnacentral:rRNA from 1 species